rnacentral:rRNA from 1 species
UCGCAUCUGUGCAUGCAGCAUAUCAAUAAGCGGAGGAAAAGGGGGCUAUUACCUACGCUUAGGAUGUUGACGAGACCGUCGAUCUCAUCUAUACACGGCUCUGUGCAUAUCAAUAAGCGGAGGAAAAGAAACUAACAAGGAUUCCCCUAGUAACGGCGAGUGAAGCGGGAAGAGCUCAAAUUUGAAAUCUUAAAGGGUUUCCCUUUACGAAUUGUAGUUUAAAGAAGUGUUUUCUGUUGAGGUUUUGGUAAAAGUUCUUUGGAAUAGGACAUCAUAGAGGGUGAGAAUCCCGUAUUUGACCUUUACUUUCAACUUUGUGAUACACUUUCAAAGAGUCGGAUUGUUUGGGAAUGCAGUCCAAAAUGGGUGGUAAAUUUCAUCUAAAGCUAAAUAUUGGCGAGAGACCGAUAGCGAACAAGUACCGUGAGGGAAAGAUGAAAAGAACUUUGAAAAGAGAGUUAAACAGUACGUGAAAUUGUCAAAAGGGAAGCGUUUGACACCAGUGUUGUUUUUCUGAAAUCAAUUAAAGAACUGUUUAUGCUAAGCUUGUUUAGACUUUAUCAGCUAUCUGUUUAGUUUUGAGCUUUUCUUUAAUGCACUUUUCAGUUAACAAGUCAACAUCAAUUUCUUUUGCUGUAAAAAAGCUUGAGGAAGGUGGCUUGAGAUUCGUCUUAAGUGUUUAUAGCCUCUUGCCUAUGCAGUCGGAGAGAUUGAGGUCUGCAGCGUAGAUCCUUCGGGGCUAAAUGCAUUUGUGCUAAGUUAUAGCAUUUUAUAGACAACUUGUUGACUAUGAUUUGUCUUGUAGCUUACUCGCUUAUGUUAUUUUACCUACGCUUAGGAUGUUGAGCGCAUGUCUCUCUCU